AUCUUUUUGUAGUUCGUAAGCAUGAUAAUUGGGCUUUUAUGCCCAUGUGUGAGAUGUACCUCCCUUAAACCUUGUUAUGAUGUUGACUCAUUACCCGUCUGACA
ensembl:snoRNA